GGGCGGCUGGCGCAAUGGUAGCGCGUUGCUCUCCUAUCAAAGGUUCAUUGAGCACUAAGCAAAGGUUGCAAGUUCGAGUCUUGCGUCGCUCG